rnacentral:rRNA from 1 species
CCAUCCUACGGGAGGCAGCAGUGGGGAAUAUUGCACAAUGGGCGCAAGCCUGAUGCAGCCAUGCCGCGUGUAUGAAGAAGGCCUUCGGGUUGUAAAGUACUUUCAGCAGUGAGGAAGGUGGGUAUGUUAAUAGCAUAUUCAUUUGACGUUAGCUGCAGAAGAAGCACCGGCUAACUCCGUGCCAGCAGCCGCGGUAAUACGGAGGGUGCGAGCGUUAAUCGGAAUUACUGGGCGUAAAGCGCAUGCAGGUGGUUUGUUAAGUCAGAUGUGAAAGCCCGGGGCUCAACCUCGGAAUUGCAUUUGAAACUGGCAAACUAGAGUACUGUAGAGGGGGUAGAAUUUCAGGUGUAGCGGUGAAAAUGCGUAGAGAUCUGAAGGAAUACCGGUGGCGAAGGCGGCCCCCUGGACAGAUACUGACACUCAGAUGCGAAAGCGUGGGGAGCAAACAGGAUUAGAUACCCUGGUAG